rnacentral:misc_RNA from 1 species
UUUCCGUAGGUGAACCUGCGGAAGGAUCAUUAUUGAAUGAACUUGGUGUGGUUGUUUCUGGCCCUCUCGUAGGCAUGGGCACAACCACCAGCCUCAUCGCUCCAGCUGUUCACCUCUUGUAGACCUGGUUUGACUUUCCGAGGCAACUCGGCCGGGAAGAUUGCUGCGCUCUGUUAGCCAGCUUUAUUUGCAUGUCGAGGCCUAUGUUCUUCAUAUGCCCCUAUCGAAUGUAACAGAAUGUAUCAUUGCGCCUUGUGCCUAUAAACCUUAUACAACUUUCAGCAACGGAUCUCUUGGCUCUC